rnacentral:rRNA from 1 species
AGCCGGCCGCGGGAACACCGGCAGCUCUAGUGGUAGCUGUUUUAUUGGGCCUAAAGCGUUCGUAGCCGGUUUGAUAAGUCACUGGUGAAAUCCUGUAGCUUAACUGUGGGAAUUGCUGGUGAUACUGUUGAACUUGAGGUCGGGAGGGGUUAGCGGUACUCCCAGGGUAGAGGUGAAAUUCUGUAAUCCUGGGAGGACCACCUGUGGCGAAGGCGGCUAACUGGAACGAACCUGACGGUGAGGGACGAAAGCUAGGGGCGCGAACCGGAUUAGAUACCCGGGUAGUCCUAGCCGUAAACGAUGCGGACUUGGUGUUGGGAUGGCUUUGAGCCGCUCCGGUGCCGAAGGGAAGCUGUUAAGUCCGCCGCCUGGGAAGUACGGUCGCAAGACUGAACUUAAAGGAAUUGGCGGGGGAGCGCCACAACGCGUGGAGCCUGCGGUUUAAUUGGAUUCAACGCCGGACAUCUCACCAGGAGCGACAGCUGUAUGAUUACCAGGCUGAUGACCUUGUUUGACUAGCUGAGAGGGGUGGUGCAUGG